AUUGAACGCUGGCGGCAGGCUUAACACAUGCAAGUCGAACGAUGAUUAUCUAGCUUGCUAGAUAUGAUUAGUGGCGGACGGGUGAGUAACAUUUAGGAAUCUGCCUAGUAGUGGGGGAUAGCUCGGGGAAACUCGAAUUAAUACCGCAUACGACCUACGGGUGAAAGGGGGCGCAAGCUCUUGCUAUUAGAUGAGCCUAAAUCAGAUUAGCUAGUUGGUGGGGUAAAGGCCCACCAAGGCGACGAUCUGUAACUGGUCUGAGAGGAUGAUCAGUCACACCGGAACUGAGACACGGUCCGGACUCCUACGGGAGGCAGCAGUGGGGAAUAUUGGACAAUGGGGGCAACCCUGAUCCAGCCAUGCCGCGUGUGUGAAGAAGGCCUUUUGGUUGUAAAGCACUUUAAGCAGGGAGGAGAGGCUAAUGGUUAAUACCCAUUAGAUUAGACGUUACCUGCAGAAUAAGCACCGGCUAACUCUGUGCCAGCAGCCGCGGUAAUACAGAGGGUGCGAGCGUUAAUCGGAAUUACUGGGCGUAAAGCGAGUGUAGGUGGCUCAUUAAGUCACAUGUGAAAUCCCCGGGCUUAACCUGGGAACUGCAUGUGAUACUGGUGGUGCUAGAAUAUGUGAGAGGGAAGUAGAAUUCCAGGUGUAGCGGUGAAAUGCGUAGAGAUCUGGAGGAAUACCGAUGGCGAAGGCAGCUUCCUGGCAUAAUAUUGACACUGAGAUUCGAAAGCGUGGGUAGCAAACAGGAUUAGAUACCCUGGUAGUCCACGCCGUAAACGAUGUCUACUAGCCGUUGGGGUCCUUGAGACUUUAGUGGCGCAGUUAACGCGAUAAGUAGACCGCCUGGGGAGUACGGCCGCAAGGUUAAAACUCAAAUGAAUUGACGGGGGCCCGCACAAGCGGUGGAGCAUGUGGUUUAAUUCGAUGCAACGCGAAGAACCUUACCUGGUCUUGACAUAGUGAGAAUCCUGCAGAGAUGCGGGAGUGCCUUCGGGAAUCCACAUACAGGUGCUGCAUGGCUGUCGUCAGCUCGCGUCGUGAGAUGUUGGGUUAAGUCCCGCAACGAGCGCAACCCUUUUCCUUAUUUGCCAGCGGGUUAAGCCGGGAACUUUAAGGAUACUGCCAGUGACAAACUGGAGGAAGGCGGGGACGACGUCAAGUCAUCAUGGCCCUUACGACCAGGGCUACACACGUGCUACAAUGGUAGGUACAGAGGGUUGCUACACAGCGAUGUGAUGCUAAUCUCAAAAAGCCUAUCGUAGUCCGGAUUGGAGUCUGCAACUCGACUCCAUGAAGUCGGAAUCGCUAGUAAUCGCAGAUCAGAAUGCUGCGGUGAAUACGUUCCCGGGCCU
rnacentral:rRNA from 1 species